AGACAUCACAAAUCAGCUGACACUUUAACCCGACAAGCAAGCCUGCCUUUCUCACUGUACUUUGCCGCUGAAAGAUGCCCAUCAGAUGCAGAAUAAUCAUGAUGUGCAGUGAGGAGAACAUCACACCUGGACCCCGCAGCCCCAAUGUGAGGACAAGAUGCCUUCCUAGCUGACAACUGCAUGGAGAUCCUAAUCAAUAGCAUAAGGAGAAAAUGGAAAGCAAUAGACUGUGAUCAAAGAUGGAGUCCUCCCUCAGGGCAGUGCAGAUACCGG
rnacentral:lncRNA from 1 species